rnacentral:tRNA from 1 species
GGCUGGUUAGCUCAGUGGGUUGAGCAGGGUGCUGAUAACACCAAGGUCAUGGGUUUGAUUCCUGUUCCGUCCC